rnacentral:rRNA from 1 species
AUUUGACCUCCAUUCAGGUAGGACUACCCGUGAACU